rnacentral:rRNA from 1 species
ACGCUCGACACCUACGGAAGGCAGCAGUGGGGAAUAUUGCACAAUGGGGGAAACCCUGAUGCAGCGACGCCGCGUGAGCGAAGAAGUAUUUCGGUAUGUAAAGCUCUAUCAGCAGGGAAGAAACUGACGGUACCUGACUAAGAAGCACCGGCUAAAUACGUGCCAAGCAGCCGCGGUAAUCUGAGCGGGCUGGCAAGGC